AACGAACGCUGGCGGCAUGCCUAACACAUGCAAGUCGAACGAUGCUUUCGGGCAUAGUGGCGCACGGGUGCGUAACGCGUGGGAAUCUGCCCUUGGGUUCGGAAUAACAGUGAGAAAUUGCUGCUAAUACCGGAUGAUGUCUUCGGACCAAAGAUAUAUCGCGCAGGGAUGAGCCCGCGUAGGAUUAGCUAGUUGGUGUGGUAAUGGCCUACCAAGGCGAGGAUCCUUAGCUGGUCUGAGAGGAUGAUCAGCCACACUGGGAGUGGGACGCGGCCCAGACUCCUACGCGAGGGGGGAGAGGGGAAUAUUGGACAAUGGGCGCAAGGCUGAACCAGCAAGGCCGGGUGAGUGAUGAAGUCCUUAAGGAUGUAAAGCUCUUUUACCCGGGAUGAUAAUGACGGUACCGGAAGAAUAAGCACCGGCUAACUCCGUG
rnacentral:rRNA from 1 species